rnacentral:rRNA from 1 species
UACGUAGGUGGCAAGCGUUGUCCGGAUUUACUGGGCGUAAAGAGCGCGCAGGCGGUCGUUCAAGUCGAGUGUGAAAGCCCCCGGCUCAACUGGGGAGGGUCACUCGAUACUGAUCGACUCGAAGGCAGGAGAGGGAAGUGGAAUUCCCGGUGUAGUGGUGAAAUGCGUAGAUAUCGGGAGGAACACCAGUGGCGAAGGCGACUUCCUGGCCUGUUCUUGACGCUGAGGCGAGAAAGCUAGGGGAGCAAACGGGAUUAGAAAACCCUGUAGUCC